GGCUUCGUAGCUCAACUGGUAGAGCGCUUGCCAGGAUUGGGCAUGUUUCUGUUGAUGGUUCGAAUCCAGUCGAAGCCC